rnacentral:rRNA from 1 species
GGAGUUAGCCGGUGCUUCUUCUGUGAGUGAUGUCCUUCCUGCCGGCUAUUAACCCGCAGGCCUUCUUCCUCACUGAAAGUGCUUUACAACCCGAAGGCCUUCUUCACACACGCGGCAUGGCUGUAUCAGGGUUGCCCCCAUUGUCCAAUAUUCCCCACUGCUGCCUCCCGUAGGAGUCUGGGCCGUGUCUCAGUCCCAGUGUGGCUGAUCAUCCUCUCAGACCAGCUACGGAUCGUCGCCUUGGUGAGCCGUUACCUCACCAACCAGCUAAUCCGACAUAGGCUCAUCCGAUAGCGCGAGGCCCGAAGGUCCCCCGCUUUCCCCCGUAGUGCGUAUGCGGUAUUAGCCUGGGUUUCCCCAGGUUAUCCCCCACUACCGGGCAGAUUCCUAUGCAUUACUCACCCGUCCGCCGCUCGCCACCAGGGAGCAAGCUCCCCGUGCUGCCGCUCGACUUGCAUGUGUUAGGCCUGCCGCCAGCGUUCAAUCUGAGCCAGGAUCAAACUCUGA